rnacentral:rRNA from 1 species
CGUGGAUAAUCUGCCCGAGGAUUUGGGAUAACAUCUCGAAAGGGGUGCUAAUACCGAAUAAGCCCACGGGGUCUACGGAUCUUGCGGGAAAAGGGGGGGACUUUCGGGCCUCCUGUCUUCGGAUGAGUCCGCGUACCAUUAGCUAGUUGGUAGGGUAAUGGCCUACCAAGGCGACGAUGGUUAGCUGGUCUGAGAGGAUGAUCAGCCACACUGGAACUGAGACACGGUCCAGACUCCUACGGGAGGCAGCAGUGGGGAAUUUUGCGCAAUGGGGGAAACCCUGACGCAGCAACGCCGCGUGGGUGAUGAAGGCCUUCGGGUCGUAAAGCCCUGUCGGGAGGGAAGAAAUGAUUGAGAGCUAAUACCUCUUGGUCUUGACGGUACCUCCGAAGGAAGCACCGGCUAACUCCGUGCCAGCAGCCGCGGUAAUACGGAGGGUGCAAGCGUUGUUCGGAAUUAUUGGGCGUAAAGCGCGUGUAGGCGGUCUUUUAAGUCUGAUGUGAAAGCCCCGGGCUCAACCUGGGAAGUGCAUUGGAAACUGGGAGACUUGAGUACGGGAGAGGAGAGUGGAAUUCCUAGUGUAGGAGUGAAAUCCGUAGAUAUUAGGAGGAACACCGGUGGCGAAGGCGGCUCUCUGGACCGAUACUGACGC